CUUGAAUUUAUUAUCCUCCUGCCUCAGCUCCUGAGUGCAGAGAGACAGAGUGCCUGUGGGACUUCUGAGAUGCAGAAAUGAAGGCUGCAUCUACCACACGAGUGAGAAGCCUGGUGGGUAUUCAGCAGCACAAAGCACAUAACAUCUGGUGGAAAGGAUUCCCUGUCCCACUCCUGUCCCUGUCCCCAGCUCCCUGGAGGACCCGUGUCUUCCUACAUUCUUGUGUCUCCUGAGUCUUGCCAGUGUCUGUCUAUAGGAACCAAGGCCUAAGGCACCAUGUGACCCGAAAUCAUCCCAGCAGCCUCCUGCUGCUCCUGAUCUGAAGUGACAAUCCACUUUCACCCCCUUCCUCUUGGAGAAGGGAGCUGAGGUCCGGGCUGUUCUUUCCAUCACCCCCUCCACCCUGAGGGUGACCGUGUAACUUCAAAUCUAACCCGAGCUGUCGUGAUGGACAGUCCACAAAACCUGGGGCCUUCCAGAGGUGGCACAGGCCAGAGGGAGACAUGAGAUCAGGGGAGGUGAGUGAAUACUUCUGAGAGGUGAAGGCUUUGGGUUGAAACUCAGAUACCAAAAAAUGUGCAUUAUUAAGACAGAGGAAAUCGAAACCAGUGAGAAACAGAUGGAGGUUCAAAUUUCAGUUGUAUUGAAAGCUGGGCAACCCCUGGAAACCUCAGUUUCCUCUCUUCCUUUCCACAGUGGUGGCUAUACCAUACUGAUGUUGCAGAAUUAAAUAAAAUAACACAUACACACAGUGAUAAUUAAGAUCUCUGACAUAUAGUAGGCAUUUGGUAAAUGCUGGCUGUUAUUACUAUCAGAGUCACUAUAGUUGAUGAUGGUGAUUAUGCAGAAGCUUGAAGGGUGUGUGAGGCCUGGAGACCAGACUUCCACGUUUCUAGGACCAUCCAACCACCGAUCUAGGUGAGUCCUCCACAGGAAGUCAGUGCCUUCUAGGAGCGCAGCCCGGCCUUUCUGUCUGCUGUCGUUUGGUUGCCUCAGACAUGGAAAUAAAGGCUUUGAUUUUGUUUAUGCCUCUCACUUUGUGCCGGGAACAAACAGCAUUUUGGGGAAUUAAGAGUCUCAGAGACAGGGCGGAGUCCUUCUCACUGUCAGAUAAAGGGGCCCCUGUUCUGAUUUCCGUCAGUGACAAGAAAUGGCCGCUCAGCCUGUCACUGAGCAGAAGGACCUGGCCAGAAGGAACAAUGACUGGACAAGCGCCAAGGUACUGAGGGGGAGAACUGGGUCCCCAGAGAGAAAGCACAGCUCCCCAGGUCUCCUGGUCGCUGGAUGCCGAGUAAACCGUAGCUGGUCCACGAGCCUCCAAGGAUUCUCCUGCCCCCGUCUCCCACUGCGUUGUCCGAGCACUGGGAUUCCAGACGUGCGCUUCCACACCUGAUUUCCACGGGGCCCCUGCCUUCCCAGAUGGCCGCCCGCAGGGACCUCACAAGCACAUGGGGGCAGAGGCCUGGCCUGGGACAGGAGCAUGAAGAAGGCCAAGACAAGUGGAAUCCGGUAUUGAUUGGCUUCUGUGACUUACAGCCUCAGGGGAGGGGUCUGGGAGAGUGACGUCAUUGCUGGAACUGGCACUGGCGCCCAACUUCCCUGAGACCUCUUCUUGCCUUUGUGACUUCUCUGUGCCUCUCCACUGCAGGGAUGGGACAGGCAUGGGGAAACUGGACUUGGCUGUAGGUUGGCCCUGGGACCACACUUCGGGUUCCGUCAGCCUCAGUCUACCCAAUAUGUGGCACUGUGGCUAUACUCCAGACCAGUAGGGCAGAAAGGCAUUGGACAUGACCCCUCCCCCAAAUGGCAACCUCUUCUCAUCCCUGCCAGAAGGGUGACAGCUUCCUGGGGAAUCUCCAAAACACAGUGCCCUUUCCGUGGGUUUAUUUAGAAAUGAGAAGUACCAGCCCUGGGCCUCCUCUGAUCUGGAGUGGAGAAGGACGUGGUGGACCUUGGAGGGGAGAAAAGGGCAAAUUUAGAUGGAGAUUCUUUCUGUUUUGUCUUGUUUUAAUUAGGUUUAUUUAUUUUAUGUGUAUGAGUGGUUUGCCUGUAUGUGUAUGUAUUUAUUUGUACUAUAUAUGUUUCUGGUGCCCUUGAAGAUCAGAAGAAGUAUCAGAUUGCCUAGAACUGGAGUGACAGAUGAUUGUGAGCUGCCAUGUAGGUGCUGGGAAUCAAACCCGGGUCCUCUGCAAGAUCAACCAGUGCUCUUAACCACUGAGCCAUGUCUCCAGCCCCCUAGUUUUGUUUUUAAAUAGGGUCUCAUGUAGCCCAGGCUGGCCUCAAACUCUGUACUCCCUGACUACUAGGAAUACAGGCAUUUGUCACGGCCCAGUGUAUUUAGUACUGGGGAUUAAAUCUGGAGCUUUGUGCAUACUAGGUAAGUGCUCUACCCACUGAGUCACAUUACCCACCUUAAGACAAGGAUUCUAUAUAGACUGGCUUUGAACUCAUAGAAAUCCACCUGCCUCUGCCCCCUGAGUUAUGGGCAUGCACUACCACACCCAGCAAACAAGGAUUUUUUUUAUUUUAUUUGUAUAUCUAUUUUAUGUGUGUGGGUGUUUGAUCUGCAUGUAUAUCUGCAUGCACCACAGGGAUCCCCUGGGAAUGGACUUACAGACAUACAUUUUUAAGCCAUUGUGUGGGCGCUGGGAAUCGAACCAGGGUCCUCUGAAAGAGCAAAUAGUGCUCUUAACCACUGAGCCAUCUUUUCAACCUCAAGACAAGGAUUUGAUUCAUACCUAACAAGUAUCUUGAGAACAUCAUUUUUUUAGGGAUUAGAUGUUUCCUUCUCCUCUUCCUGUCUCCUGUUCACUGGUGUGACUACAGCUGCCUCCUUGGUGACCUCCCUGGACCCACCUGGACCCUCUGAAGAGUCCUGCUGACAAGCCUUCCCCACUCCCAAUUAAGCCUUGGAAAACUUCACCCAUGGCCUCUCCUGGCUGUCUGGAGCUGCCUUCUUGGAGAAGGACAAUCACUGGCUGGUGUUGCCAGAAAGCCGAGGCCAGCCCAAAUGGCUACCUUGUGUGGACCAGGCACUCCAGAGGAGCAGGGGACGCAGGCUGGCCCAGGGACCAGGAGCCAACCCUUCAUUGUCUCUGAGAAUCACAAUCCUGGAUGGCAGCCGAUGGCCCGAGGAAGGACAUGGAACCCUCUGCCCUGCCCCCUCUUCCUGUCGGUGCUUGCCUCACAGUAUGGUCCUUCAAGAGAGUCCAGAACGGGAAUUGGAGAGGAAGGUGGUGGACCUUCUCCCCGCUGACCACCACAGGGACUGGAAGGUAGACACGGGCCUCCUCCCACCGUGAGUAUCACCGGCCUGGGUGCCCCUUCCCACCCUAGUCCCAUCAGUCUGUUUGGUGCUGAUUGGAAAGUCAGCAGUUCUGGAGGCCCUGCCAAGUCUAGCCGAGGAGGGCCUGACCUCCCCUCACCAUAAUUAUCUAUCUUAUAAAAUACAGGCAUUGAACUUCAUAAAACCAAUUAAGACUUCAGGGCCAGGGCACUCGGGAGCAAGCAGGAGUCGGCAGCUCUGGGUGACAAUGGGAGUCCACUCCAAGGACAGAGCAGCUCCCUCACGGUUCUCUACCUCACGGGUUCCACUUUAAAGAGCCCCCACCCCCACCCCCACCCCCCACCAGAAGGCACCAAGGCCAAACCCAGGGAAGGACUGGCUGGCUGACAGAGGCAGUGAGAGCUAGAACUGUUCCUUCCCUUUUGUGACCGGCAGCCCAACAGAGCCUGCUUCUCCCUCCCUCCCUUCCUCCCUCCCUCCUGCCCGCCCCCCACAUCCCUCUCUGGUUCUACAAAACCUCAAGAGCCUCCCAUCCAGUUACCAAGGCAACCGCAGCCCUGCAAGAUUCGCAGCGAUUCUGGGAGAGAGCAGAGACUGACAGGAGCCGCAGACAGGAUGCCAGGGUUGGGGUGUGUGUCUGGGGGUAAACAAGGAGACUGCAGGCUGCGGGCUGAGUGAGCAGCUCCCCUCUCCGUUCUCAGCUGGUUUGAGGCUCUGGGCUCAGGCUGGAGGCUUGUUUCACAGGCGGGUGCCAUGACAGCCACGAAGCUUCCCUCCCUGGGGGUGGUUUGGGGAAAACAGGGGAAGACCUGCAGACACUGAGUUCCCGGCCCAGCAUGGACCACCGGUACUUCCGCUAAGGCUCUCCACGCCUCGCCUGUGGGAGGCAGUACUGGGAAGGGAGAGAUCGUGGCUUGUCUGUGUGGUGGAUGUAGCCUGGCUCUUGGCUCACUUACUUUCUCGGACUCUGUUUUCUUAGGUGGAAAUGGGGAUAACGUGAUGAGUCCCAGGAUUUAACAAUCCUAUAAAUAUGUUUGCAUAAGGCACAACACUGAAGUUUUUCCUUAAGCUGCACAAACUUGAUCAUUAUUUCUAUUUUCUAAAUUACAUUUAGUGUGUGUGUGUGUGUGUGUGUGUGUGUGCGCGCGCGCGCGCACAUGUCACAGCUAACACGGGGAAGUCAGAAGACAGCUUGCAGGCGCUGCUUUUCUCUUUCCAUCACGUGGGUCCCAGGGAUUAAACUCAGGUUAUCAGGCUACCAAUGGGUCCCCAUUUUGAUUAUUAUUAGCACUGUGCACUUGGCUUAUUUAUCUGGAAAAUUAGAAUCGUGGUUAGAACUGACUCAAUUGUGGCUUGCGGAUUCCUUGAAGAAUCGUGUUUGCACCCGUACCUUAGCCUCAGUGGAGGCAGCCAGCUCUGCGUUCUCUUCACUCCCUGCAACGGAUGUUGGUGCACACCUGUAAUCCUAGCACUGAGGAGGGAGAUGGGACAGUUGAGAAGCCAAGGCUAGCCUCAGUUACAUAGUAAGAGCCUUUCUGUCUUAAUGACUCUUCUGUUGCCGCAAAGAGACACCAGGACCAAGGCAACUCAGCAGACAGUUUAUUUGGGGCUUACAGUUUCAGAAGUUCA